GACAGAGGUGGCAAGCGUUGUUCGGAAUUACUGGGCGUAAAGCGCGUGUAGGCGGGCUGAUAAGUCGGACGUGAAAUCCCUGGGCUCAACCCAGGAACUGCAUCCGAAACUGUCAGUCUGGAGUGGUGGAGAGGGAAGCAGAAUUCCUGGUGUAGAGGUGAAAUUCGUAGAUAUCAGGAGGAACACCGGUGGCGAAGGCGGCUUCCUGGACACUAACUGACGCUGAGACGCGAAAGCGUGGGGAGCAAACAGG
rnacentral:rRNA from 1 species